rnacentral:rRNA from 1 species
GGGGCAGCAUGGUCUUAGCUUGCUAAGACUGAUGGCGACCGGCGCACGGGUGAGUAACACGUAUCCAACCUGCCGUCUACUCUUGGACAGCCUUCUGAAAGGAAGAUUAAUACAAGAUGGCAUCAUGAGUCCGCAUGUUCACAUGAUUAAAGGUAUUCCGGUAGACGAUGGGGAUGCGUUCCAUUAGAUAGUAGGCGGGGUAACGGCCCACCUAGUCUUCGAUGGAUAGGGGUUCUGAGAGGAAGGUCCCCCACAUUGGAACUGAGACACGGUCCAAACUCCUACGGGAGGCAGCAGUGAGGAAUAUUGGUCAAUGGGCGAGAGCCUGAACCAGCCAAGUAGCGUGAAGGAUGACUGCCCUAUGGGUUGUAAACUUCUUUUAUAAAGGAAUAAAGUCGGGUAUGUAUACCCGUUUGCAUGUACUUUAUGAAUAAGGAUCGGCUAACUCCGUGCCAGCAGCCGCGGUAAUACGGAGGAUCCGAGCGUUAUCCGGAUUUAUUGGGUUUAAAGGGAGCGUAGAUGGAUGUUUAAGUCAGUUGUGAAAGUCUGCGGCUCAACCGUAAAAUUGCAGUUGAUACUGGAUAUCUUGAGUGCAGUUGAGGCAGGCGGAAUUCGUGGUGUAGCGGUGAAAUGCUUAGAUAUCACGAAGAACUCCGAUUGC